UACAGAGGGGGCAAGCGUUAUUCGGAAUUAUUGGGCGUAAAGGGCGCGUAGGCGGCAUGGCAAGUGGAUGGUGAAAUCCCUCGGCUUAACCGAGGAACUGCCGUCCAAACUGCUUCGCUUGAGACCGGGAGAGGUGAGUGGAAUUCCCAGUGUAGCGGUGAAAUGCGUAGAUAUUGGGAGGAACACCAGUGGCGAAGGCGGCUCACUGGACCGGUACUGACGCUGACGCGCGAAAGCGUGGGGAGCAAACGGG
rnacentral:rRNA from 1 species